AUUCCUCCUGGAGCUUUUCCCUGUUUGGAUUUCUUAUCAUUGUCACCAACCAGAGGUUGAAUCUCCACACCGUUCCACUGCUGAAGUGAGAUGCUCUGACUGGCUGCCAACCCUGUGAAAGCACCCACCUGAAUUCUCUGCGCUCAACAGAGCAGCCCAAGGAUAAACCCUCCAGUAAAUCCUAUGUGACUGAAGAUAUAGGAGCCUGACUGAAGACGUGACCAGGAUCCAUCCUCAGCUACCAACACACCUCAGGCUGAAGCAGACUCGACUCUGUGAGAGGACAGGACCAUCCCACCUU